GUGAGGAAUAUUGGUCAAUGGACGGAAGUCUGAACCAGCCAUGCCGCGUGCAGGAAUAAGGUCCUAUGGAUUGUAAACUGCUUUUAUUCGGGAAUAAACCUCUUUACGUGUAGGGAGCUGAAGGUACCGAAGGAAUAAGCACCGGCUAACUCCGUGCCAGCAGCCGCGGUAAUACGGAGGGUGCAAGCGUUAUCCGGAAUCAUUGGGUUUAAAGGGUCCGCAGGCGGGCUAUCAAGUCAGAGGUGAAAUCCCACAGCUUAACUGUGGAACUGCCUUUGAAACUGAUGGUCUUGAAUUAAGUGGGCGUUGGCGGAAUAUGACAUGUAGCGGUGAAAUGCAUAGAUAUGUCAUGGAACACCGAAAGCGAAGGCAGCUAACGAUACUUAUAUUGACGCUCAUGGACGAAAGCGUGGGUAGCGAACAGGAUUAGAUACCCUGGUAGUCC
rnacentral:rRNA from 1 species